AUAAAGCCAGCGCUGAAUUCUAUGGAAGCGGGGGAACCAAGUCUGGGCUAUCAAUUAGCCAAAUGGGGUGAAUCACUGAAUGUGACGGGUUAUUCCUUUCAAUCCGAAUCCGACAGCUAACCUCGUAAGCGUUGAAAGGGGGUUAA
rnacentral:sRNA from 2 species